rnacentral:rRNA from 1 species
UACGAAGGGAGCUAGCGUUGUUCGGAAUCACUGGGCGUAAAGCGCACGUAGGCGGAUUUGUCAGUCAGGGGUGAAAUCCCGGGGCUCAACCUCGGAACUGCCUUGAUACAGCAAGUCUUGAGUUCGAGAGAGGUGGGUGGAAUUCCUAGUGUAGAGGUGAAAUUCGUAGAUAUUAGGAAGAACACCGGUGGCGAAGGCGGCCCACUGGCUCGAUACUGACGCUGAGGUGCGAAAGCGUGGGGAGCAACAGG